GUGUUCGCUUCGGCAACACAUCUAAUAAAAUUGGAACGAUACAGAGAAGAUUAGCAUGGCCCCUGCGCAAGGAAGCUACCCACCAAUCUUCU